rnacentral:rRNA from 1 species
UACGUAGGGAGCAAGCGUUGUCCGGAAUCAUUGGGCGUAAAGCGCGCGUAGGCGGCCCGGUAAGUCCGUUGUGAAAGUCAAAGGCUCAACCUUUGAAUGCCGAUGGAUACUGCCGGGCUCGAGUCCGGAAGAGGCGAGUGGAAUUCCUGGUGUAGCGGUGAAAUGCGCAGAUAUCAGGAAGAACACCCGUGGCGAAGGCGGCUUUCUGGGACGGUACUGACGCUGAGACGCGAAAGCGUGGGGAGCGAACGGG